rnacentral:lncRNA from 1 species
CAGGAAUGUUCGCCAAAGUGCUGUCUGUAGCAAUAAUGAUAAAACCGCACCUGAUGUGCAUGGCCUUGGCGAGGUCCUGCGGGGGGCGGUGGACGCUGGCGACCUCUCCAGGGAAGCCCACACCCCCACAGUGCAUGCCAGGCAGCAUGGCGGCUGUGUGACUCUCGGGGUGGAUGAGUCACUGGACGUUGGUCAAGGCCCACAGAGUAGCCACACCCAGAGUGACCUCACACACCCGGGGGAGGGGUGUGGUGUGUUGGAUCCCGUGCUUGCUGAGCGUUUCUCGAGGGCGCUGCCCUCUUGGGCGAGCUCCGGUGCACACCGGCAAUGACAGCAGUGGCCGAGCAGAGUCGGGAGGCAGACGUGUGAACAGGGACCAGGCCAGGCAGGACGGCGCAAAGAAGACGCUAGGGUUAAAACUGAAAGCAACUUGACAGUCCCAGGGCUCAGUGUUGAUUUUCGGCCAGGAAAUACUGAGACCAGCGUCAGAGUGCACACAGGGUAAGCUCUGGGUAACUGCCCACCUCUGGGGAGAGAGACACUUGCACGGUCUGCGAAGGGCACGUCUCCCGCCUCCCCUCCAGGCCCGAGGGACUUCUGUCUGGGCUUGGUCCCAGUGGCGCAGGAGAGAGGGAGCCAGACCAGGUGGUGGCGGGGGACCCAGGAGAGCUUCCCUAAUUGGCCAUCAGAGGCCCGAGUCCCCGCGCUGCCAGGUGCAGAGGACCCGGCCCAGCAGCGACCCCGAGGCAGGAGCCUCGGCACACUGCC